rnacentral:lncRNA from 1 species
UGAAAUGUAAACAACUAGAAGAAGAGAAAAAUGAGCUAAAAAUGCUUGAAGGCAAAUGAGUGGAAGAAGAGAAAAGGUAAGUUCAAAUCUUUCACCUUUAUCUCUUUCCUUCUUUUAAAUAGAAAUAUUUCCUCUCUCACCAUGCAAAUCAAUAAGCUGAUUCCACCAAAAAGUAAAGUAAAAAAAAGAAAGAAAAAAACCCUAAUCUUGA